rnacentral:rRNA from 1 species
CCUACGUGUGGCAGCAGUAGGGAAUAUUGCUCAAUGGGGGAAACCCUGAAGCAGCAACGCCGCGUGGGGGAUGAAGGUUUUCGGAAUGUAAAGCCCUAUUAUUAGAGAAGAAAAUGACGGUAUCUGACGAAGAAGCACCGGCUAACUACGUGCCAGCAGCCGCGGUAAUACGGAGGGGGCAAGCGUUACCCGGAUUCACUGGGCGUAAAGAGCGCGUAGGCGGGAGAGCAAGUCAGAAGUGAAAUGCUGUGGCUUAACCAUGGAACUGCAUUGGAAACUGUUCAGCUAGAGUGUGGGAGAGGUAGGUGGAAUUCUUGGUGUAGGGGUGAAAUGCGUAGAGAUUAAGAGGAAUACUAAUUGCGAAGGCGGCUUGCUGGAACAUAACUGACGCUGAGGCUCGAAAGCGUGGGGAGCAAACAGGAUUAGAUACCCCAGUAGUC